UACGUAGGUGGCAAGCGUUAUCCGGAUUUACUGGGUGUAAAGGGCGCGUAGGCGGGGAUGCAAGUCAGAUGUGAAAUCUAUGGGCUUAACUCAUAAACUGCAUUUGAAACUGUAUCUCUUGAGUGCUGGAGAGGUAGACGGAAUUCCUUGUGUAGCGGUGAAAUGCGUAGAUAUAAGGAAGAACACCAGUGGCGAAGGCGGUCUACUGGACAGUAACUGACGCUGAGGCGCGAGAGCGUGGGGAGCAAAC
rnacentral:rRNA from 1 species